GUGCCAGCAGCCGCGGUAAUACGUAGGGUGCGAGCGUUGUCCGGAAUUACUGGGCGUAAAGGGCUCGUAGGUGGUUUGUCGCGUCGUCUGUGAAAUUCCGGGGCUUAACUCCGGGCGUGCAGGCGAUACGGGCAUAACUUGAGUACUGUAGGGGUAACUGGAAUUCCUGGUGUAGCGGUGAAAUGCGCAGAUAUCAGGAGGAACACCGAUGGCGAAGGCAGGUUACUGGGCAGUUACUGACGCUGAGGAGCGAAAGCAU
rnacentral:rRNA from 1 species